CCUGGGCAUAUUCAUACACAGGUGCAUAAGCAAAGAGCUUUGCACUGGGAGUAGCAGAGACACACAAGAAUGGUCAGAGCUUUUCAUGUUGGCUUUUUUAUGGUUAUUUCACCGGGGUGUGUAAAAUCAGGAGAACCUCAGCAGCUCCCCUAGAUCCUGCCUAGCACCUCUAAUCUCAGCAGAAUAACUUAAUUCAUACCUGGACCACAAAGCACAGGACCUCAGAGUUCCAAGAUAUGCCAAUUCAGCAAGAGGAUGAGGGGAGUUACCUGUAUUCUGUUUCAUCCAGAGCCUGGAGACCUUCACAGCUGUCAUGAAGUCCUUGGGAGUCCUGGUUUUGUUACCCUGGGAUGUGUUCUUAUGUACAAGGACUUGUGGCUUGCACAUAGCACAGGGGAGUUUACCCUGAUUUUUUUACAUGGCGUGUGACAGCUUGGAUAUUUCUUAUUGAUCAGGAAAACCAGUGUACACCUCCCAGGAGACCAGCACUUCCUGAUUCAAGCCCUUCCAAGUCCUUUCACAAGAAUUAAAAGAAAUCAAAACUGAAAAGGGAUUUUAAAGAAGAAAAAGGUUCUGUCAAAUCCCUGAUACCUGCAAAGCCAUAAAUAAGAGGGAUAUUUUCUAAGUUCAUAGAAUUUCAUCGUUUUCGGAAAGCUAUUGGGAGGAACGGCAUGAAAAAAUUCUGUCUGUUUCUCUAGUAGAAUACAGAUUGACCCUCCUAAAUGAAGACAGUUGGCAAGAAUGAUCUGAUCUGAGACAGAAAAACAGAAAAAAAAUCAGAUUUUAAAUAAAUUUAUCUUUUAAACUUCUGUCUCGGCUCCAGCAGCCUGCCAUAAAGAAAAUGAAAUGCAAACUGGAAACAUGGGUUUGUUCUAAUACGUGCAGGGUGAAAGAUAAAGCUAACAAGUAUAUUUGUUUCCCUACUAAUCCCUCUUCAUUAUAGGACAUAGCUGUUUUGCUUAAUGGUCACAAAUGACUCCAGUAUGAACUCAAACAAAGGGAGGUUUCUUUUCUAUUUGGAGAUUAAAUCAUUUGUAAAAAUGUUUCAAGUGCAGUCAGCAUCAACAAAGUCAAAUAAAACCUCUGUCUCACACGAGCAAAAAUUCACCAUAGCGAGUAUCUUUCUAUGACAACUGGUAAGAGGUAAUUUUUCCCUGGAGCCAACUUCCAUUGGAUCAGUAAUGCUCCAGUCUAUAGCAGAGAGAGUUUGCAGGGAGGAUCUGUGUACCAGCACACAUAAUAAUGAAUCACACCCUACAUUGAUUUAGUAAACCAAUAGGUUUUAUUAACUCAACAAUAAGAUUAAAAUGGAUUAAAACAGGAGAGGGGCUCCAGCAGUACCACAGUACUGAGCAACAACACAGAGCUGUAAAAUCUACCUGAGAAUAAAGCGAAUUAGGUCAAGCAGAGCUGCUUUGCUACUGGUACCCAAGCAGGCAGUUUUAAAGCCAUGAAUACUUCUCCACUCCAUUAUCUCCAGCCAAGAUUUGCGCCUGUCCUAUUAGUUUCAGCACAUUCAGGAUGCCUCACCACCCUCCUGCAGGAGCUUCUUUGGGAGUCCUUUGGUACAAACCAGUGUUUUUCAACCCACCGAUCCAAGGAGGCCUGAGGGUCUGUGGGCUGUUUCUAAAGGAUCUACAGUGGGCAGCUAUGAAUCUUGCAAAGCUGUAAAGCUCCUGGUGGUAGGCUCAGAAUCUGCACAUGGAAAACAAGUAGGUUUUAGAGGCCAGCAAAUUUAAAGGGGUUGAAAAACACUGCAUAAAACUUGUAGCAUCUCAAGAGUAUGUAGGAGAGCCUCCCAUUUUGCCUUACCAAACCACCUGCCCAAAUGCUCCUCGGACUCAAAGUGAAUCUUAAUGGUAAUUCAUAUUACUGCCUGUGUGGCUCUGAGCCCAGCCCUGUAAAGGCCAGUUUUGUAAGAGCUGACUUGUGGGGUGUGGAAGCAUAGAAGACAGGGAUGGAGAAGACCCCAAGGAAGUAUCUAGUCCUCCCCCGAGCCAGUAAAACUUAAUGAAUAUUUUAUUGCUUUAGUAUGUUUGGGGUUUUUAUAAAUUGUGUGCAAUCAUUGACUUAUGCCAUACGUACACAAUAAAAUUAAGCAAAUACUCAAUGUCUCUUCACAGAUGAAGCUAAAAUAAAUCUGAUUCUCCCUUCCUGAGUUAAUCCACCAUGAACAAGGCGAUCAAUGACCACCCUUGUAAGCCAUCAUCCGCCCACCUCACUCCUUCCCACCUCCUCCUGUUAUCCGGGAGAGGUUUGAUUUAGAGUGCCAAUAACUAUCCUCACAAUCACUGUAAUUAUGACGUUCAGUAUUAUUGCUAUUUGUUAUUAGAUCAGUAAAGAAAAUCCUUUUUUCUGUCUGUGGGAAUUUGCAAGAUUCUGAAAUGGUUUUCCCCUGUUCUGGAUUCAUCAAUGUUUGUGAACCAAUAAUCUGAAAAAAGUACAGAUCAGAUCAAUGCACAAUUCAUUUAGAUACUUUGAAAGUUUUUCAU